rnacentral:ncRNA from 1 species
UCUUUGCUCCCGAAUUGAGGUUGUGAUUUUAUUAUUUGUAAAUCACAUUAAAAGGGAAUUAGGUUCAAAACCUAAGCUGUUCCCGCAACUGUAAGCUAUCAAGCUUGUUGUUAUCUACAAAACCACUGUUCCGAUGAUUCGGAAUGGGAAGGUAAACAACAAGACGCAAGCCAGGAGACCUGCCUUUUUUCUUAACUAAUA